rnacentral:rRNA from 1 species
AGUGAACGCUGGCGGUAGGCCUAACACAUGCAAGUCGAACGGCAGCACAGUAAGAGCUUGCUCUUACGGGUGGCGAGUGGCGGACGGGUGAGGAAUACAUCGGAAUCUACUUUUUCGUGGGGGAUAACGUAGGGAAACUUACGCUAAUACCGCAUACGACCUACGGGUGAAAGCAGGGGAUCUUCGGACCUUGCGCGAUUGAAUGAGCCGAUGUCGGAUUAGCUAGUUGGCGGGGUAAAGGCCCACCAAGGCGACGAUCCGUAGCUGGUCUGAGAGGAUGAUCAGCCACACUGGAACUGAGACACGGUCCAGACUCAUACGGGAGGCAGCAGUGGGGAAUAUUGGACAAUGGGCGCAAGCCUGAUCCAGCCAUACCGCGUGGGUGAAGAAGGCCUUCGGGUUGUAAAGCCCUUUUGUUGGGAAAGAAAAGCAGCAGGUUAAUACCCCGCUGUUCUGACGGUACCCAAAGAAUAAACACCGGCUAACUUCGU